rnacentral:rRNA from 1 species
GGAGGAAAAGAAACUAACAAGGAUUCCCCUAGUAACUGCGAGUGAAGAGGGAAGAGCUCAAAUUUCGAAUCUGGCGGUCUUUGGCCGUCCGAGUUGUAAUCUAGAGAAGCGUCGUCCGCGCUGGACCGUGUAUAAGUCUCCUGGAAGGGAGCGUCGUAGAGGGUGAGAAUCCCGUCUUUGACACGGACUACCAGUGCUAUGUGAUGCGCUCUCGACGAGUCGAGUUGUUUGGGAAUGCAGCUCAAAAUGGGUGGUAAAUUCCAUCUAAAGCUAAAUACAGGCGAGAGACCGAUAGCGAACAAGUACCGUGAGGGAAAGAUGAAAAGAACUUUGGAAAGAGAGUUAAACAGUACGUGAAAUUGCUGAAAGGGAAACGCUUGAUGUCAGUCGCGUCGGCCGGGGAUCAACCUUGCUUCUCUGCUGGGUGUACUUCCUGGUCGACGGGUCAGCAUCAGCUUCGGUCGCCGUACAAGGGCGAGGGGAACGUGGCACUCUUCGGAGUGUGUUAUAGCCUUUCGUCGUAUGCGGCGGUCGGGACUGAGGAACUCAGCACGGCUUUCGGGCUUGUGCUUAGGAUGCUGGCAUAAUGGCCUUAAGCGACCCGUCUUGAAACACGGACCAAGGAGUCUAACAUGCCUGCGAGUGUUUGGGUGGCAAACCCGAGCGCGCAAUGAAAGUGAAAGUUGAGACCUCUGUCGUGGAGGGCAUCGACGCCCGGACCUGAGUCUUUGACGACGGAUCUGCGGUA